rnacentral:rRNA from 1 species
CCUACGGGUGGCAGCAGUGGGGAAUAUUGGACAAUGGGCGAAAGCCUGAUCCAGCCAUGCCGCGUGUGUGAAGAAGGCCUUCGGGUUGUAAGGCACUUUCAGUGGGGAAGAAAGCCUUGGGGCUAAUACCCUCGAGGAAGGACAUCACCCACAGAAGAAGCACCGGCUAACUCCGUGCCAGCAGCCGCGGUAAUACGGAGGGUGCGAGCGUUAAUCGGAAUUACUGGGCGUAAAGCGCGCGUAGGCGGUCUGAUAAGCCGGUUGUGAAAGCCCCGGGCUCAACCUGGGAACGGCAUCCGGAACUGUCAGGCUAGAGUGCAGGAGAGGAAGGUAGAAUUCCCGGUGUAGCGGUGAAAUGCGUAGAGAUCGGGAGGAAUACCAGUGGCGAAGGCGGCCUUCUGGACUGACACUGACGCUGAGGUGCGAAAGCGUGGGUAGCAAACAGGAUUAGAUACCCCAGUCGUC